rnacentral:rRNA from 1 species
AUACGUAGGGGGCGAGCGUUGUCCGGAAUGAUUGGGCGUAAAGGGCGCGUAGGCGGCGCGGUAAGUCUGGAGUGCAAGUCCUGCUUUCAAGGGGGGAAUUGCUUUGGAUACUGCCGCGCUUGAGUGCAGGAGAGGUUAUCGGCAUUCCCGGCGUAGCGGUGAAAUGCGUAGUGAUCGGGAGGAACACCAGUGGCGAAGGCGGGUAACUGGACUGCAACUGACGCUCAGGCGCGAAAGUGUGGGGAGCAAACAGGAUGAGAUACCCUGGUAGUCCACGCUGUAAACGAUGAAUGCUAGGUGUAAGAGGUAUCGACCCCUUUUGUGCCGGAGUCAACACAAUAAGCAUUCCGCCUGGGGAGUACGGCCGCAAGGUUGAAACUCAAAUGAAUUGACGGGG